GGGGGUGAAUAGGUUCGACAGCUGCCUCUAGGUCGUUGGCAGCAGGCCCUGGUUGGUCAGCGCCAGGAUAAAAGCCGACCAAAACAACAAAAGCCAACUCACAGUUGGCCUGGGCCACCGCCUAAUAAGCGCGUAGCCUACGCCGGUCCCUGACACCUGCUGGGGGAGCGCCGGCGUCAUGAGCAGGCUGGACGGCCGCACCGCGCGUUUCGUCGGGGCGGACGUCGAGAACAAAACGGAACAACUCGGGAGCACCUGUCCGCCGGUUUUCCCGGGUCGUGCCGGCGGACUAAGCCUGUAGCGGCCGCGGCGGGAGACGGUUGGACUCGAGUGCGAUUCUCGACACCUCCAA
rnacentral:tmRNA from 1 species